rnacentral:rRNA from 1 species
GCUACGGGUGGCAGCAGUGAGGAAUAUUGGUCAAUGGGCGCGAGCCUGAACCAGCCAAGUCGCGUGAGGGAUGAAGGUUCUAUGGAUCGUAAACCUCUUUUAUAAGGGAAUAAAGUGUGGGACGUGUCCUAUUUUGUAUGUACCUUAUGAAUAAGGAUCGGCUAACUCCGUGCCAGCAGCCGCGGUAAUACGGAGGAUCCGAGCGUUAUCCGGAUUUAGUGGGUUUAACGGGUGCGUAGGCGGCCUUUUAAGUCAGCGGUGAAAGUCUGUGGCUCAACCAUAGAAUUGCCGUUGAAACUGGGGGGCUUGAGUAUGUUUGAGGCAGGCGGAAUGCGUGGUGUAGCGGUGAAAUGCUUAGAUAUCACGAAGAACCCCGAUUGCGAAGGCAGCUUACUAAACUGUGACUGACAUUGAUGCUCGAAAGUGUGGGUAUCAAACAGGAUUAGAUACCCUUGUAGUC